CUCACUAUUCUUUGACGGCUCUUCCUUCAACUCUAUUUCUCCGGCGAGACAAUUCUUUUCGCCGGCGUCUUGUCUGACAUCUCCAUUCGCUGGCAUCUUCUCGGACUCCUCUCUUGUCCAACACGAGCUCACUCAAUCGAUUCGUCUCUUUUUCUCCGAAGAAGCUUCGAUAUCUGUCUCUCUCUCUCUCUCUCUCUCUCUCUCUCUCUCUCUCUCUCUCGCUCUCUCUCUCUCUCUCGUCAUUCCAAGCACAAGCUUUGCUUUCUCUGACAAUCUCGUUUUCUCUCUCAGCUGAGAAAGCCUUAAACAAGCCUUCUUGACUUCAAGUAUUGACAGGAGGGCUUUUCCUUCUAUCGGAUCAUCCUUAACCUGUUCCACUUGAUUCUUAGAACUGUACAGAAUCUUGUGUAGAGUGAUGAGGAAACUCGUUCUUAUCUUCAACUAAGAAUUGAAGAUAAACUGAAAGGAAAUAUAAAACACCAAACUGUGCACGAAGCUACAAGACAGAGUAUUAUAGAGAAGUUCAGUGAGAGAUUUGGGGAAAGACAUCCAUGGAAGAAAUUUGGGAUCAAGUUUUCACUUGCAAGAAACAGUAUGAAUCUUUCAGAAGAUUGACUCACGACAGAACUGGACUUGGAUAUGAUUCCAAUGGAUACAUAGAAAUGUCUGAUGACUGGUGGAAGGAGCAGACUAAGGAGUGGUCGGGAGCUAAGAAACUAAAAGAAAAACCAGUUGCAAACAUGGAUUUUAUGGAAGAAGUCUUUUGAAUGUCAUAUAUGUUGCUUUUGAUUUCUUCAUUUUGCUUUAUAUGAUUGGUGAAGACAGCUACUUUGAACGUCAUGCAUGUCUCAUAUUCUCGUAUCUGUCAGUAGUCUACUUUCGUUGCUUGGAAUGCUUGAAUUGAUAUCAAGAUAUGUGUCUACUUGAUACUAACCAAGCUUUUCUAUUUCCUGAUGUGAUUUUCUAGUUUGUAACAUUAUUGUCUCUCGUUUUCUAUUCUGGUUUUGUACGAAACAUUUAGAUUCUUAAUUGAGGAUGAUUAUAUGGAAUUGGUUCUUGAGGAGGAGAAACACAUGCAUGCUCUUAUAGAAGACAUGUAUGGAGUGGAGGAAAGAAAAAUUGAGAGACAAAUGGUGAACACAAAACGAGGAGAAGGUUGGCAACGUGUGCAGCGAUUGAUUUUUGAGUCUAAGGUACAAUGUUUUGAUAUUCUACGCAUUCACCAAUCAACAUUUAGGAGUUUGUGUAAAAGGCUAUCUGAGCAGUAUAAGUUAGAGGAAUCUUUCCAUGUUUAUAUAGAAGAGAGUGUUGCAAUGUUCAUAGAAAUGGUUGCACAAGAUCUAACUGUACGGGCCUUAGCUGAGCGGUAUCAACAUUCACUAGACACAGUGAAAAAGAAGCUAGAUGAUGUUUUAAGUGCUCUUUUGAAACUCGCAGCAGAUAUAGUGAAGCCCGCAAGGGAUGAGUUUGCAAGUGCUGAUCCUUUUCGAGUAGAUGAUGACCGGUAUAUGCCUUAUUUUGAGGAUUACAUUGGUGCUCUUGAUGGCACACAUGUGCCAGUUCGUCCUCCAUCAGGGAAUGUAGAGCCAUUUAGAGGUCAAAAAUCAGAGCCAACUAUGAAUGUGCUUGCUGUAUGUAAUUUCAGUAUGAAAUUCAUAUAUGCUUAUGUUGGAUUUCCCGGGAGAACACAUGACACAAAGGUGCUAACACAUUGUGCAACACAAGAAGCUUCUUUUCCACAUCCUCCACCUGGAAAGUAUUAAUUAUUUGAUUCAGGUUAUCCCACUAGAAUCGGUUAUCUAGGUCCACAUCGCAAAACUAGAUAUCAUCUGGAUCAGUUCAACAGAGGAUGACCACCUACAAACGGUAGAGAGUUGUUCAACCGCAAGCAUUCGGGUUUGAGAUCGAAGACUGAGUGCACAUUUGGUGUAUGGAAAGCUAAAUGGUGGAUUUUGGACAGGAACAUCCUAAGUAUGAGCUUAAGAAAUGGAUAAAGAUUGUGACAGCAACAAUGGCUCUUCACAACUUUAUCAGAGAUUCAAGGGAAGAGGGUAGAGACUUUGAAUAUUGGGAAAAUGUAGAGUCAUAUGAACAGCAUGGUGAUGAAAAUGUUGGACAUGUUCCAUACUUACCAUCAGGUGAUAGAGUUAUGGAGACAAAAUGUGAUGCCAUUACCUUAGAGAUGGCAAAAAGAACUAGACUUCCAUAUUGACAGGAUCUGGUGAAUAGAAGGGAGAGUUGGUGGUUUAAGGAUUAUGCUUUUCUAAAAAAACUUUGUUUUGUACCUUGAUAAACAUAAUAUGAUAUGUUUUUUAAUUUGAUAUUGUGUUUUGUAUGAUGAAAUUAUAACUCUAGAAGAAGAUAGUGUAGUUUGCUU